GCAAUACACAUCGCAAUGUAUAGUGACAUUUCUUGUUAGCAUGUCAAUUGCGUGCGACCUUUUUUAAUUGUUUUACUUUCUAUUGAUAGUGACUGUUGUACUUUUUUCUUGUUUAACAAUGGAUUCUGAUAGUUCACCAACUAAAAAAGGAAGUAAAAGCCGUGGAAGAGGACGUGGGGCAUCGACUACGCCGUCGAAUCGAGGCCGGCCGCGGGGCAGAGGCCGGGGCAAACGAGCAGUUAAAUUGAUACUCAGUGAUGAUGAUGAGUCAGAAGGUGAAGAGCAAAUAUCUCUAAACAAAAGUGUUGAUACCGAAAAUGAGAAACCUGUGGCUUGCAGUCCCGAACUCAUUAUCAAACACCCUGAAUUUGAUUUGGAGGCUGACAUCUCCCAGCUGCAGGCACCUACUUUCACAACUAUUAAUAGAGGACCUCCGGAACCCAUGCUCCACCUGACCUGGAACUUGCCAGUGAAUUUGAUUGGUGAAAAGGUUCUCAAUCCAAUGAUUCACUGUUGUGACAAGUGCUUAAAACCUAUUCUCAUCUAUGGUCGCCUUAUUCCCUGCAAACAUGUGUUUUGCCUAGGUUGUGGAAAGCAAGAAGAACAUCUACCGUGUCCGAGAUGUCGAGAAAGAGUGGCUCGAGUGGAACAGACUAGCCUUGGUCAAGUGUUUAUGUGCACUCACGGUGGAUCUCGUUAUGGCAACGAUGGCUGCCGCCGAACUUACCUGUCACAGCGGGAUUUACAAGCUCAUAUAAACCAUCGACACCUUCGCAUACCAAUGGAGAAAGAGCCGCAAAAAAUCAGCACUGUCCCUCUGUCUAGCUCUCGUGGUGCACAGCAUAUGCCGAUUUUGAAUAGUCGUUCUAACCUGGUGUCUGUGCAUAUUCAAGAUCCUACGACGGGUUUGUCCAGUAACAAUAGUGGUAAUGCGGGAAAUUAUUACAGCAGUAUAGCUCCGCCAACCAGUGCAGGUUACAGUUAUUCCUACGGUUCGCAACCGGGCCAUUACAGCACGACAACGCCAAGUUACUACGCAAACUAUCAGCAACCCGCACCUCCACCUCCUCCGCCACCACCUCCGUCUCAACAGCAACAUCAGUAUGAUGUUGGCAACCAAUCCUACGCAAGCAAUCAGUGGAGUUCAUCCACCAAUCAAUCGUUCUAUCGGUGAAAAUGAGAAAUGUAUGUCCAACAACGAGAGACAAACGGACAAGAACAUGCUACCCUUAGCCAAAACAAUCCAUGGCUGGACUGGAGGAGAAAAGGGGAGAAAAACGGACAGUAUUUACACACAAAAGAAAGUAACAAUUUGGACGAAUGCACUAAGCUGUUGGCUUAGGAACGGAUGGAUCUAUUUCAACAGCAACUGUGAGAGCUUCGACUGGAUUCGUUGCUUGAGAAACUUGUUCUGCCUGCACUCCAGUUUUUGGUCGUGAAUCUUCCUCCAAGCUGGGCCAAGUUGAUGCUGAAUCUGCCUGUUGGCUUAAGUCUUUCGCUUAAAGCCUUGAGAGCGAUUUGCCUGUGUAUAUGGGAUUUGAAGAACAAUGAAAAAGUUUUGGAAGUAGUGCAACAUUGCAAAAAUACCUCCGACGUUCAGCAUCGUGUGUAUCCGUUCCUGGGAGACUAAUCGUUAUUGCUGUAGGGCCGCCAACGUCAUAUUUCCUUAUGGGCUUCCGGCAAAUUCUUAACCCGACCAGCAGAUUGUAGACAAAUUUGGAGCAAAUUUCAAUUGGGGGUUGCAUGACUGUGGGGAAAAAACUAAAAAAGACAAGUAGAAUUGUCAAAAUUAGAAAUGGGGCUCACUAUUCUUACUGUACAUUUAGUUACCUUGCAAAGGUGAAGUUAUCUGCCAUAUCACCUCUUGUGCCAUUACUAUGUCUCUGAUAAAAUCUAAGAUACAACCACCCUAUGACCACUCCAGUAGUAUACAUAGUGGGAUAUGCUCCUUCUAGCAAGCCAACUACGUAAAGGAUUAUGGACAAGAGGGAAACACAGAGUGGAACAUUACGAUUGGUCAUUUUUCCCAAUGGAGUUUUGAUGACAACAUGAUCAGGCAUCUGGAAAGAUAUGUUAAGGUUUAUUAUUUAUGCAUUUUCCAACACUUAUUUGGUUACUGUUACCAUCUGUUUCACAGCAACAGAAACUGCAGCUAUGUAUCCAGAAAGACCAUGAAGAUGAACUUCAAAAAGGACAUCUGUAUUAAAUGUUGCCAUGUAAAUAGCAAGGUAAAAGAAGAUCCCAAAGAAGGCCACCGAGGUGUUGAUCAAGGUGAAGAAGGUCAGCAUCUCCAUCUUGCCCCACAGAGGCUCGAUAAGCUUGCCACAGAGCCCCAAAGUGACAACGUCAACACAUACCUCCCAAAAAUGAAACUCUAUGAAGCAAUGUGUAAAGAUUGUCCAGAUUCUGAAUCCAGGUGGAAAGACAUAUCCUGGUGUGACAGUCAGAAAACGAACGGCGGGUUCAUGAUAAGAUAUGAAAUAACCUAUGAGAACAACUAGGCAGACGAUUUUGACAGACGAGCUCGUGUUUCCCAGUAGGGCGGAGAGCUGCUGCUUCAAAUAGGGAACGUUACGAUGUAGCGUUUUCAAAGCAGCCAUUCCUUCACACUAUAACGGGCUUUGAUUAAUUAUAGAUUUCCAUUAGGAAUAAAACUCUUUUACGUAAAAAGAAUUAUACAAUCCAACAGUUGUGCGAUGAACAGGAGAGAACUCUUGCCAGUCUCAAUAUUUUGACGUCGACUAUUUUCCGUGCUGCGAUGCCAAUUUUCAUUAUCCUUUGGUUACGUUACAUCCUUAGAACUUGUUUCAUCUUUUGCUAAGCGAUAACGUUACUUACGUAAUAGGCUUCUAAAAUACCGAGCGCAGAUAUCGCAGAGUUAUAGAUUAUACAUGUAAUCUAUGACUCUGGAGUCUGGAUAUAGCUUUGACAUACUCUUUUGCUUUAAAAUAUGUCAAACAACUAAAUAUUGAGAUGGAUAUGUCACCCCUACUGACUUGAAAACUCAUUUGUUAACUGAACCCGCCUGUUUCCGUUCUUUUCCUUAUCGAUUGUAUUUUCACAAGCCAAAAGAAGAAAAAAAAAGGAGAAAGUAGACUUUAACGAAACAGUCUGAUAUAAUAUUUCUUUUGCACUUAAUUUCUAGACCGUUUUCGUACAGAAUAAUUCACGACCGUAAAAAAUGUAGACAGAGAGAGACGAAUUAUACGUUGUCAAGCAUGCAUUUUUCUU